UCUCAGCUACCGGGUCGGGGGGGGGCUUCCAGCUGUGAACUCACCAGGAGCUGAUAUCAGGCUCCAAUUUAGGGGCAGGGGUCAAGGUCAGACAAAAGUCAGGAAGACUGGAGUGCUCGUGGGGGAGCACCGAAGAGGGAGAGGGCUCCCCACCCCCCUGCACAGGUCACAGGGGUCGCCGAGAUGCAGGAGACACGGGUUUGAUCCCUGGUCCGGGGAGAUCCCCCAUGACCCGGAGCAACUAAGCCGCGUGCACCAGAACCCUGAGCCUGCUGUAGAGCAGCCCCUGAAGCCUGCAUCCAGAGCCGGUGCUCCACAGGAAGAGGAGCCUCCCCCCGCCAGCAACGAGGACCCAGAACAGCCAAAACCCAGCCCAGGGCCAGCCCCAUCGACCGGAUCAUCCCCGACUGGUCGACCCGACCCGCAGCGACUCAUCCGUGUUUGUGCCACGAACCCCCUGGACACCUGGAAACCCAGGGACCCCUCCUCAGAACAUCAGUGUCCACGUGGAAGUAGUUGAUU